rnacentral:lncRNA from 1 species
CCAUGCGUGCUCUUUUUCUCCAGUGCCAAAGUUACCACAUGUUCUCGGCCAGAUGCCUUGAAAACCACACGGCAUAACAACGCUCAAUAGUGCUUCGAGGAACAGAUGUGCCUGUAAUUAUUUUUUUAAAGCUAGUAUCGAAGCUGUUAACUAGUCGAUCUAGAGCUUCGGAAAUGUACAAAUCUCCCGGCUGUUUAUUAAUUUCAGCGGUCGUAAACCAAAAAUAUUCAGUUAAAUUUGUAAUAUUCUUUGCAACAACUAGUACUACUUUUUACGAGGGAACACAUAAAUUUACAGAAGAAUGAGAGAACGUUCAUAACGGAAGCAUUGUGUAAGGAUACGGGUUGUACCAGAUAAGCCGGAUCUUAUGCUUUCGUCGUCCAAAGAAAAAUGACCGUUUUUAUAUGUUUAAAAUAGGGGUGAGCCACACAACAUACAAAUAGAUAAAGGCAAAAACUUACUCAGAAACCAGAAGCCAAUUUGAAAAUGUGCGAACGGGAGAGAAGCUGAAAUGUGAAAGGAUGAAACCUGCAAAAAGCUACACAAACUAGGAGUCUUAGGUAGUGGAAUUUCAUCAAAGGACGAAACAAGGUGGUGACUAAUAUAUCAGAGCGAGUCAGGCAAUGGAGGCUAAGGGUUGCAAUUUGUGAAAUUCAGCUUACCAUCUUCUUGAGACUUGUAGCCGCACAGGUCUGGACUUUUGUUG